rnacentral:rRNA from 1 species
AUUGAACGCUGGCGGCAGGCUUAACACAUGCAAGUCGAGCGGGGUGAUGGUGCUUGCACUAUCACUUAGCGGCGGACCGGUGAGUAAUGCUUAGGAAUCUGCCUAUUAGUGGGGGACAACAUCUCGAAAGGGAUGCUAAUACCGCAUACGUCCUACGGGAGAAAGCAGGGGAUCACUUGUGACCUUGCGCUAAUAGAUGAGCCUAAGUCGGAUUAGCUAGUUGGUGGGGUAAAGGCCUACCAAGGCGACGAUCUGUAGCAGGUCUGAGAGGAUGAUCCGCCACACUGGGACUGAGACACGGCCCAGACUCCUACGGGAGGCAGCAGUGGGGAAUAUUGGACAAUGGGGGGAACCCUGAUCCAGCCAUGCCGCGUGUGUGAAGAAGGCCUUAUGGUUGUAAAGCACUUUAAGCGAGGAGGAGGCUCUUUUGGUUAAUACCCAAGAUGAGUGGACGUUACUCGCAGAAUAAGCACCGGCUAACUCUGUGCCAGCCGCCGCGGUAA